GCAGCAGCCACGGUAAUACAGAGGGUGCGAGCGUUAAUCGGAUUUACUGGGCGUAAAGCGUGCGUAGGCGGCUUCUUAAGUCGGAUGUGAAAUCCCUGAGCUUAACUUAGGAAUUGCAUUCGAUACUGGGAAGCUAGAGUAUGGGAGAGGAUGGUAGAAUUCCAGGUGUAGCGGUGAAAUGCGUAGAGAUCUGGAGGAAUACCGAUGGCGAAGGCAGCCAUCUGGCCUAAUACUGACGCUGAGGUACGAAAGCAUGGGGAGCAAACAGGAUUAGAUACCCGCGUAGUCCCUGUCUCUUAUAC
rnacentral:rRNA from 1 species